ensembl:lncRNA
AAAUAGGAGUGAGGCCAGGCUCUCAUAGGCGCCCAGAGCAAGCGCCGACCCCCUGAGCCCGGGAUCGGCGGAGGGGCGCGGCCGGCCGGCGGGUCGGGGCCCCUCCACCCUGCCGGCCGGCCAGCCGCACCGCUGAGGGCUCCGCGCGGGCCAAGUCCGCCCGCCUCCUGCCUGGGCCUGGCGGCCGCGCUUCAACACCCGCCAAGCUGAAGAGCGCCUGCUACGCUUGGCUGCUUGCCGCGGCUGAGGUCGCAAUGCUGUCGCCGCCCUCAACUUCUUUCCCGGGGGCCCGGCGGAGCUGGAACUGGCGCUAGAGGAGGAACUGGAGCUGCUGGCGGCCGGGGAACGGGCUUCCGAACCCGGGGAGCAUCCCCAGGACAAGCCCAGGGAGGGUCGGACUGCAGCCACCGCGCCCGCCCAGAAUCCGGCAGAAGGAUCUGGUGUUAGCGACCCGAGGGGGCACGGCAUUGCUGAAGAGGAACCGGAACAAGAGUCGGCAGGAUGAGCAGAUGCACAAGGAACUGACAGAUAAGCUGGAGUUUGUGGCUUAUGGGCAGAGCCCACUGAGGAACCGGACCAAUGGCUGAGCAAGACCUGUUGCCUAGUAACAGGGUGUGGAGUAAUGAGGCCCAGCAGUGGCUGCCUGCUAAGUGAUGUGCCCAUCCUGCUGUGUUACACUACCUCACAGAAAACUGCCUGGAAGGGGGGUGGAAUGGACCGUUUGGGAUCAUCAGAGAAGGGCAUUCAUUGAGCC